CUGCUUUAAACAGAUCCCCUUGGGCUGUCUGCUGCCUCUCUCUUUAAACUCACUAUUUUGAUCACUGGAUUUCCUCCCUCCCCUCAGUCUAAGACCUGUGAAGCUUCCCCACUGUGACCAGUCCCUGAGUGUCACCAUCCUGUGCUGAUUCCCUCGAGCCACACUGUUCCUUACCCAGUCCACUCCUCUGCACAGGGUCUCUUCAUUUAAACCAUUUCAGUGAAAUCCUUGAGAGGAUCACCUGUUUCCUGCUGUGGCCAUGACAAAUCUGCCUCAUUCCAUUAGCACAAUAUCCCCAGGUUUCCAAUGUCCUUCCAUAUGUAUUUACUUAAAUGAAAAAUGGCUGUAUAAUCUAAUCGUGGGCAGAUAUCAGACAUAUCCUUAUCGAGGAGCAUUCUCCGACAUAACUGGAUUCAAAAAUAUCAGAGGCAUGAAAAGCUAAGGAAUUACUAAAGAUUAGAGACUCGAGAGACAUGUUGAUGAUAUGCAAGGAGAAACAAGUUUAUGUGUCUUCCUAAAGAGAUAAAUGUGUGUGAAGAUGCAUGUGUACAUAUGUGUGUCUAUUCACAUAUGCAUGACACAUGAAUACAGGAUGCAUGACUCUGAAACUAUGCAAGAACCCUUUGUGUGAAUUGUAGAGCAUUUCACAGCCCAGAUGAAAGCUAACUUUCUGUGGGCCAUUUAUUUGACUGUCUGUCCUUUCUCUUGCAUUCCUACUGCAAGCGCCCCUGUACACCUAUGUUUCUGCAUACGACCCAGGACUAUUGUUGACUAGAGUUGAGAAGCAGAACUGUUGAAUCAGGGACUGUGCACACUUUUACAUUUUGGUGUGUGUUUUGAAUUGCCAAAGAAGCUUACAGCUUGGUAAACACCUAUUCUUUAUUACUGUGAAAUAAAUUAUGAACAAGGUUUUGCAAAAAACAAAACAAAACACCAAAAAACUGGAUGGUAGCUUGUACAACUAGGCUUUUCUGAACAGAUCAAAUUUAGAUCCUAGAUUGGCUACCUUCACAUUAUUUGCAUGCAUUAAUUUCCUCCCAAGGUUCUUCAAGGCCUUCCUGCUCUGCAUCCUCCCUUUGCUGUGGGGUUCCAGGCCCUCCUGCAGAGGCCUGCCUCUCUAAACUCUUGUUUGAAAUGCUAAUUUUCUUCAUGAGGGUAAAAAAACGUUCAAAUACUACUUUCAGCAAUUGAUCAUGUAUGAUUUUUCUGUCAAGUAUAACCUUGCUUUUGCUCAUGUAAGCAAAUAUAAUCAAGGUUUGUGAGAGAACUUUUUGGAAAAUCAGGUGAGUGAAUAUUAAAGUUGACUGGAAACUGUGGCACCAUUGCUCAGCAGCACGCUGAAUAUAUCCACAUGCUUCGUUUUUUGAUAUAAUUACAAAAUGAUAAGGAUGAAAAGGAAGCUGGGAACAUUUUAUCCACCCUCUUUUGCACUGAAGGUGGAAACUGUAGACCUGAUAUGUGGACUGAAAUCACACAGCCCACACAGAACCAGAUGAACCCUGAUCGUCUGACUUUGGCUGUGUCCUUUCCUGCUUCCCAUCUGUACAGUCCAGGAAGUCCUUCAAAGAUGUCUUUCAUUGUUGUUGGUAUACGCUGUUGUGUGUCCCAGUGGAGGCCAGGCUGGAAUUGGGCUUACAACAGUUGUGAGCUGCCUGAUCCCAGUUCAAACCCUCGGGAAGAGCAGUCAGUGCUCCUUAACCAUUUCUCCAGUCCUGCCUUGGAGGUCUUAGGCUUCUGUGAAGCAAGAUCUGUGUCUGGUGAAGCCACAGUCUGAAGGUUACUCAGAGUAGGGAAGGUAAAAGGAAAACAAACCAACAAACAAAUAAAAAUAUUCUAGCACUCCUGAAGAAUUAACCUAAGACAUUAUUUUAACUUGCUUACAGCCAGGGUAUAAAAAUGGGAAAUAGUCAGUUCUCUCUGAUUGCUGAGAAAUACAUGGAAAGGAAUGAUAUAGCUUUGGGUAAUGCAAAUGUGUUAACGUCGUGUAAGUCCCAAAAUUUGCUCCUGCAUUAACUUCAGCAUGAUAUGCACACUAAAUGUUACUGUAUUUGGAAAUAAUUACCUCUUACAAAUGAUUCGUGAAGAGAAAACUCUGGUAAGUUAGCUUCCAGUUCUCUUCAUGGAGAAAUCCAAACUAUGAUCAACCAUUCAUCUUCUAAAAUUAUAAUAAUUUUCUAAAUGUUUAUGCCACAGUAAGAUGACGUAUCACACAAGUGUUGGUGCCAACCACAUGCAACCCUGCCAAAUCACUUGCCAAAUAUCUUGCCUUGGAGAUGUAUUUUGUGUUUAGCUGGACGUGGGUGUAUGCAGCAUUCUAUACACUCGGAAAAUUUCAUAAAGAACUCUUAAGUUUGAGUACAAGGCCAUUUUUGCAUUUUCUUCCUCACUUUGGAGGGGUCAUUUGCAGAAUGUAUUGGGGAUUGGGAAAAUUGCAUGAGUGUAGAAGAACAUUGUAGAGCAGAGUGGGGUUAACUUGAAGAUCUGACCUUCAAGAGAAGGAGAGUGGCUAGUCAGCAAAAGAAGGCUUUGAUUCUUAGGAUCUCUGGAAUGUGUUCCCCAUGGGGAUUGAUAUGAUUACCUUGAGGGAUCCAUGUGGUUGCUGUAGUUAGUCAGUAGUUGAAAAAGGUUUCCUGUGCUUAAGCAGAAGGUUAGGUCCCAACUGAGUGGUUUUCAGUUCUGUCCCAAUCUCCUCCAUUUCAAAUCAAUAUUUUGCUACACCCACCAUUUAACAUUCAUUAAUAAAAUGAUCUAUAUGGGAAUACAUCUUUUAAAAACGAAUACGUGGGACUGGGAGGUGGCUCAACAGGGAAGGACCUGGCUGCACUAGCAUGAGGAUCUGAGUUCAGAUCCUCAGCACCCAGGUGGGAAAAAAGGCAGACAUGCUAAUGGAGGCUUGGAGGCAAAGACGGGAGGAUCCUGGGGACUCUCAGCCAAUUGGUGAACUCCAGGUUCAGUGGGAGACUUUCUUUUAAAAGAUAAAGUAAGAAGAUCAUAGAAAUAUUCACAGUCUCUCCUGUUGCCAUGUGACUCAGGUGGCUAAAAGAUGCCCACGGGCCAGCCUGGUCCUCAGUCUGGGCUGGCUGAAAGCAUCCACAGGCCAACCUGGCACUGCCCUUUGCUGAACUCUGCAGCAGGAGAGCUGGCCCCACGCUACACCAUAGCAUGGGCGUGCUGACCCUGAUGGUAUGGGCUUAGUAGAGCUGGCUCUACCCCUCACCUGAGGGGGGUGGUCCUAGCGGCCCAGACUGCCCAGCUCAGCAAUAACCCAGACCCACAUCCUGGGCCUUGGAUUGGCUCAACUGUAACAUCUACCCCAUCUAUGACCUGCUGGAGUACAUGAAGGGACUACUCCUGCAGAAUGAUAGCCUCAGGAUCUCCAUGACUCAGAACAAUAGCAGGAUAGCUGAGAGGAAUUUCAGUAGGUGAAGGUCCAGUGAUGAUGGUGUGCCAGAGGCCUUGAACCAGACCAAGGACUCAUUUCCAUUGCACAGUAGGGUAUGAUGUGCGAUGCACGGCAGUUCCCAGUGCCACUAGGAAGAAUGAAGAGGUGUUGGAGCGACAGGAAAGAUAGAAGAGCAAGGUCCAUGUGCUGAAGACUUGGUCCCCAGGUCAUGGUGCUGUUGGGAGGUGGUAGACCAUGUGGCUGGUGAAGGAUGUAGGUCACAGGAGUAUGGCUUUGAAGGGGAUGUUGGGAUCCUGCACCUUCCUGUCUCUGGCUACCCAGACACAGAGAAGCGCAGAGCAACAGUCAUGGACUGAAACCUGACAAACUUUGACCCAAAGAAUAAACCUUUUAUUAUCCUUGUAUUAUUAAAAAAUAACCUUUGUUACCAAUAAACCUCUAUUGCUGAA